GAGUUUGAUCUUGGCUCAGAGCGAACGCUGGCGGCAGGCUUAACACAUGCAAGUCGAACGGGCGUAGCAAUACGUCAGUGGCAGACGGGUGAGUAACACGUGGGAACGUACCUUUUGGUUCGGAACAACUGAGGGAAACUUCAGCUAAUACCGGAUAAGCCCUUACGGGGAAAGAUUUAUUGCCGAAAGAUCGGCCCGCGUCUGAUUAGCUAGUUGGUAGGGUAAUGGCCUACCAAGGCGACGAUCAGUAGCUGGUCUGAGAGGAUGAUCAGCCACACUGGGACUGAGACACGGCCCAGACUCCUACGGGAGGCAGCAGUGGGGAAUAUUGGACAAUGGGCGCAAGCCUGAUCCAGCUAUGCCGCGUGAGUGAUGAAGGCCUUAGGGUUGUAAAGCUCUUUUACCCGGGAAGAUAAUGACUGUACCGGGAGAAUAAGCCCCGGCUAACUCCGUGCCAGCCGCCGUGU
rnacentral:rRNA from 1 species